UUUCGGUGAUGACACUUCUAAGGCUUGUUUCUCAAAACAUUCGCAGUAGCCGCCUGAGAGCUUUCGCUUCGCCUAGCUUGAGAGCUAAUGCUGCUUAAAUUUCCUUCCUUGGAUGUCUGAGACG